rnacentral:misc_RNA from 1 species
GAAAUGCGAUAAGUAGUGUGAAUUGCAGAAUUCAGUGAAUCAUCGAAUCUUUGAACGCACAUUGCGCCCUUUGGUAUUCCUUAGGGCAUGCCUGUUCGAGCGUCAUCUAAACCUUCAAGCCCUGCUUGGUGUUGGGUGCCUGUCCCGCCUCCGCGCGCGGACUCACCUCAAAUCCAUUGGCGGUCCCCGCGUCGGCCACGAGCGCAGCAGAAACGCGAACUCGUGAGCCCGUCCGGGCGGCUCCCAGAAGCUACACCCACCCAGUUUGACCUCGGAUCAGGUAGGGAUACCCGCUGAACUUAAGC